UUAAAGCCAGGAUGUUUAACGCCCUCAGACAUCCUUGUAGAACUGGACUUACCUGUAAGAUUUACAUUCAAUGGCAGUACUGUAACCCUCCAAACUGCAGAAUAAACAACUGUUAUACAGGUUCAAGGGGCUGGAGCAUGCAGAUGGCUACAGCACCCACGCGGAUUGCAUGUGAAGUUGAGAAUAAAAAUAUACAACUGAA